GAUAAUCUACGAUUUUCAUUUAAUACUUCUGGAUUAUUAAUAUCAGAAUUUCUGAUAUUUAUAUUUUGGGUAUUUCCAAAGUUUCCCAGGUUUUGUAUAUAUUCAUCGAAAAUUGUUUGAUGAAAUCUAUUAUUUUCAGAGUUUUUAAUUCUUUGCUUUAACUAUAUUUUUCCCUAAAAACUAAUCAUCAUUUUUUAUAUCUAGGAUUAAAUAUCCUUUUUAUCCUUAAGGAUAUCCCAUAAAUAUGCCUUCAAUUGUUUUGGCUGCAAAUUUAUGUUUCUUACAUGAUGUAGGAGAAGAUUCCGAGUGAUUAAAACAGAGAAAAAGAAUAGGGUUUAUCCUUUUUCGAUUAGGGAAAAAAGAAAGAAGCUUAGAAUCCACCAAGGUUCUAGAUCUAGGGUAGAAAGAAAACUGUUUGUAGGAAAAAACGAAGAAGGAGAAAAACAGGGAAGAAAGAAAAGAAGUUACCUUUGGUAAUUGCAAUAAUUCGAUAAUUGAUUUUCUCCUCCUUGGGCCUACUAUAUUUAUACUCACAUCAAAGGUAAUGGGCAACUCAUUUGAUGUGAGUGUGAUGUUUCCUUAAAAGGAAUAUGGGUUGGUCAAGCCAAUUAAAAUCCCCUUGAUCACGAUUCUGUCCAUAGAAUAUAUUAUUGUCAUUAUUUUUGUAAUUAAUAAUGACAGAAUCUUCUACUGCAUCACUUAUGCUCUUUGCUAGCAUAAUAUAAACAUCCUAUAGUUUUCAUUUUAUUGAAUAUAUAUGGUCUGUUAGAUGGAUGGAUGGAAUUCUAUUAAUGGAUGGAAAGAGUUUUGUCUUUUAAAGCAAUAGAUGGAUGGAAUUCUAUUAAUGAUAAUAUGUGUUGAUGCUAACACACAUAAUCCCCAAUAUUUUAUGAGAAUUUUAGCUUGUAUUUUAAUUGCUCUAGCUAUGUUUAGGUGGUCUUUAUGUUUUUUCUCAACCUUGCUAUUUUGUUGAGCACGGAAAUUGAUAUACGAUCCUAUUUUUAUUUAAUAAUUCAGUCAUUUUAUUUGCUUGAAAUUGUAAUAAAAUUGUAUUUUUAUCAUUUUAAUGAAAUUAUGUAUUAUGGAGUAUGUGUCUGAUUUAUAUUUCAUUAGAUAGACUCAAACUGAUCUACUUUUAUCCUCUAAUAUGGUUAGAAAAUAAAAUUGAUUAUUAUGUAUUGGUUUUAGAAAUUUUCCC
rnacentral:lncRNA from 1 species